GUUGUAGCUCAGUGAUACAGCACUUGCCUCAUACUUGUGAGGCACUGGGUUCAAUUCCCAGCACCACA
rnacentral:tRNA from 1 species